CCCUCCCCGCCCCGCCCAGCGCCCUCCCCCAGCCCUGCCCAGCCAAGUCCCCGCCUCUUAGAAAGAAAAAGCGUCAGCAGCGGAAGAGAAUCCUAUGUCAAGUGUAAAGGUCGCUUGUGAGUCUUUGCUGGAUUUUUUUGCCAAACGAUAAAUAACCGGUUUUUUUGUGCGGACAUAAGUUUUCAUCUCCUUUGGAUAAAUACCAAGUAGUGUGAUUGCUGGAUCAUAAGUCUUCACAAUGGGAGAUGCAGAACAGCUGGCAGGAAUCAGUGUACUCUGUGUUUCUCAUGGGAGAAAGAAAGAACACUGAAGGAAAUAAGGACUGUGCCAGGAGAGGUGAUUAAGCAAUUAGAAUAUUUUGAAGUCUAAAAGAACUGUAGUAUCAGGAGAACAACUGAACGAGAAAAUAAAUUACUGAGAGUAAAGCAGUCUGUAGGUUUUGGGAAGAUUCGUAGGUGUGUGAGAAACAAGAUAUUUUGGAAUCUUAAUGUAAUCUGAGAAGUCAAAUAGACCUGUAUUCCUGUCAUUCUCUUUCUCAUUUUCUUCCUCCCCACCAAAUCAUGAUGUUGAAGGUCAGUGAGAAGAGUCAAUUCGGGCUGUUUCUCACGAAGGUGUACACCAGUCAUCCGGAAUGUCAGUAUCCCUUAUUCAGAGUGAUUUUGAUAAAUGUGCUUAAAUAAAUAAACACUCUCAUUUCAACUAAAUAA